AUCCUUCAGUUCGUGAACUAAAGAUCUGGUGUUCUGGCCAUUGUGUGAGAUGUGUCUCCCUCAAACCUUGCUAUGAUGUCAGCAUCUUGAGUGGUUAAGG